UACAGAGGUCCCAAGCGUUGUUCGGAUUCACUGGGCGUAAAGGGUGCGUAGGUGGUCGGGUAAGUCUGAUGUGAAAUCUUCGAGCUUAACUCGAAAAUGGCAUUGGAUACUAUUCGGCUGGAGGGUUGGAAGGGGGACUGGAAUUCUCGGUGUAGCAGUGAAAUGCGUAGAUAUCGAGAGGAACACCGGUGGCGAAGGCGAGUCCCUGGACAAUCCCUGACACUGAGGCACGAAAGCUAGGGGAGCAAACAGG
rnacentral:rRNA from 1 species